AGCAGCCGCGGUAAUUCCAGCUCCAAUAGCGUAUAUUAAAGUUGUUGCAGUUAAAAAGCUCGUAGUUGAAUUUCGGGAUCAAUUAGUCGGUCGUGCCUCUGGUACGUACUGGUUUUAUUGGUUCCUCCCUUCUGACGAAACAUGAUGUCAUUAAUUUGGUGUCGUGGAGAAUCAGGACUGUUACCUUGAAAAAUUAGAGUGUUUAUAGCAGGCUAACGCUUGAAUACAUUAGCAUGGAAUAAUGAAAUAGGACGUUCGACCCUAUUUUGUUGGUUUCUAGGAUCGACGUAAUGAUUAAUAGGGAUAGUUGGGGGCAUUAGUAUUCAAUUGUCAGAGGUGAAAUUCUUGGAUUUAUUGAAGACUAACUACUGCGAAAGCAUUUGCUAAGGAUGUUUUCAUUAAUCAAGAACGAAAGUUAGGGGGUCGAAGACGAUCAGAUACCGUCGUAGUCUUAACCAUAAACUAUGCCGAACUAGGGAUCGGAUGAUGUUAAUUUUUAAUG
rnacentral:rRNA from 1 species